rnacentral:ncRNA from 1 species
AAAGACUUAGUCCUAACCUUACCGUUAGUUCUUGCUAGACAUAUACAUGCAAGUAUCCGCGCCCCAGUGUAAAUGCCCCCGACCUCUUACCAAGACAAAAGGAGCAGGCAUCAGGCACACUGCCUCAACAGUAGCCCAAGACGCCUUGCCCAGCCACACCCCCACGGGUACUCAGCAGUAAUUAACAUUAAGCAAUAAGUGUAAACUUGACUUAGUUAUAGCAACACUCAAGGGUUGGUAAAUCUUGUGCCAGCCACCGCGGUCAUACAAGAAACCCUAAUUAACCGUCACACGGCGUAAAGAGUGGCCUACACAUUUUAUCGUACUAACUAGGGCUAAAAUGCAACUGAGCUGUCAUAAGCCCAAGAUGCACAAAAACACACCCUUAAGACGACCCUAGCACCGACCGACUGACUAUAGCCACGAAAGCCAGGACACAAACUGGGAUUAGAUACCCCACUAUGCCUGGCCCUAAAUCUAGAUGCUUCUUUAUCCCACCAAAGCACCCGCCAGAGAAUUACGAGCACAAACGCUUGAAACUCUAAGGACUUGGCGGUACCCCAAACCCACCUAGAGGAGCCUGUUCUGUAAUCGAUAACCCACGAUGCACCCGACCACCUCUAGCUAAAACAGCCUAUAUACCGCCGUCUCCAGCUCACCUCACCUGAGAGCCUCACAGUGAGCACAACAGCCUUAGCCCGCUAACAAGACAGGUCAAGGUAUAGCUGAUGAGGUGGAAGAAAUGGGCUACAUUUUCUAAAAUAGAAAAAUUCACGAAAGGGGGCAUGAAACUGCCCCUAGAAGGCGGAUUUAGCAGUAAAAUGGGACAAGAGUGCCCUAUUUAAGCCGGCCCUGGGGUACGUACAUACCGCCCGUCACCCUCCUCACAAGCUUACUAACCUCAUAACUAAUAACCCAACUAAGCUGAAGACGAGGCAAGUCGUAACAAGGUAAGUGUACCGGAAGGUGUACUUAGCAUAC